AGCGAACGCUGGCGGCAGGCCUAACACAUGCAAGUCGAGCGCCACGCAAGGGGAGCGGCAGACGGGAGAGUAACACGUGGGAACGUACCCUUUGGAUCGGAACAACCCAGGGAAACUUGGGCUAAUACCGAAUAAGCCCUUACGGGGAAAGACUUAUCGCCGAAGGAUCGGCCCGCGUCUGAUUAGCUAGUUGGUGAGGUAACGGCUCACCAAGGCGACGAUCAGUAGCUGGUCUGAGAGGAUGAUCAGCCUCACUGGGACUGAGACACGGCCCAGACUCCUACGGGAGGCAGCAGUGGGGAAUAUUGGACAAUGGGCGCAAGCCUGAUCCAGCCAUGCCGCGUGGGUGAUGAAGGCCCUAGGGUUGUAAAGCCCUUUCGGCGGGGAAGAUAAUGACGGUACCCGCAGAAGAAGCCCCGGCUAACUUCGUGCCAGCCGCCGCAGUAA
rnacentral:rRNA from 1 species